rnacentral:tRNA from 1 species
GCCCCGGUAGCUCAGCAAGGAUAGAGCGGCGGCCUUCUAAGCCGUAGGUCGCGGGUUCAAAUCCCGCCCGGGGCA